rnacentral:sRNA from 1 species
AGAGGAUCCUGGAGGCCAAUGAGUAUGGAGAGAAGUAUGCAAGCACAGGACACAGACCCACUCCUGUUGUAUAUAAUUAUGUGAGCAGAUGGGAGAGGCUAAUGACUUUUAAUCCCAAGUGCAUUAAAGAAGAUUAAAGACGCCUACAGACCUAAGGAUCUGUGUUGAAGAUUUUAUAUGCAAUACCAUUCUCGUUUGUUCAUGUUUGCUGUCGUGAUUUCUUGAGUCUGUAAGGCAGACUGUGUGCAUGUUUGCAAGUCUAGGUGGCACACCACCAUCUGAAUUUCUGAACCAUGUUGCGGAUCUCUAGUGCCAAAUCCUACAAGGUUUUGGUUUUCUAUUUAUAGGAGCCUAGAAACCACUCUAGCCUUUGGAGUCACAGCUUCGCGGCAGUUUCAGCGUCUGCUACUUAUUAAGUGUUGAUGGACCAUCUGGGGCUUUCAGAGUCUUAUGUGACAUCUUCUUCAACUUACCUUGGAAUCUUAGACUUCACUGAGAUCUAUGCAUAAGUCAUUAUGGAAUGGAAAGGAAAAUGGCCACGUUUGAUUACUUUUGGUUUAGAAUCAGGAAAGCUGAAGUUAUACAGGAAGGCCAACUGAGAUCAAAAAGAAACUGUCUCUACCUGGUGCGCCCACAUAGCAAUUCUGUCCAGCCCAAGAGUCUGGGACAUGCCAGAACAUUUUCUUCUUUAUAGUCUGUGGGAGGCACUGACAAGAACAGUUGAUACAGAUUGCAAGCACAGCGACAUAGUAGUGUCGUAAUGCAUCAUCACAUGCUAUCUUUGGUAUAUUCUAGAAUUUUAUCACGAGGCAUUGAUCCCACACCUGAGGUCAUUAUUAGAAUGAAGUGAAGAAAGGAAGGCAUGAAGGGGAAAUGGGACUGUUUACGGAGCACAUCUACACAAAGGAGACAGGGGGAAGUGCUGUGCUCUUCAGUGUCUUUGUAGCAUAAAUCACUGAGGCAGAGGAAUUUUUGACAGCUUUCCCUAAGUGCUCGCUUCAAGGGUGAGACCAAAUCUUCCACAGAGGCCAAGGAUGAGAGUGAAAAAGAAGGGAUCCCAGAUGACUUCUAACACUCUUAAAGCAACUCGAAGACUCCAAGAAUUAAGGCACUGAAGACCGGGAAGCCACUGUUAGUGACAUCAUUUUGCAAGGAGUAGGAGGCGCUUCUUACUGGAGAAGGCACGUCACCAGGGUAUUCUUUGAAGUUUCAAAAGCCCAUACCAGGCCCAGUCUAUCUCUGCCUCCUGUCUGCUGAUCAGGAUGAGGCUCUCCUGCCUCCAUGCCGCUGUGCUUCCCAGCGUGAUGAGCAAAGAAAAACCUUCUGAGAUUGUAAGCAAGCCACCAAUUAAAUGUUUUCUUUUAUGAGUACCUUGGCCAUGGUGUCUUUUCACAGCAACAGAACAGUAACCAACACACAAUCCAAAGGGAUCCUUCAGAUGUUAACAUAAAUAAUAUAGGACAGAGACAAAAGGCCAUCCGGAAAUGUUUACCUCCAAGACUUUCUCUACCAGGCUCAACUGAAAUCGUUCAUUCAGAGUGGGUCAAGGUUUUAUUCAAAUACUUAUUGUCCAUUGUAUUGAGUUUUUAACCCAAACACUUAUAUAUAUGUAUGUGUGUGUGUGUGUGUGUGUGUGUGUGUGUGUGUGUGUGUGUGUGUGUGUAUACCUCUUACAUGAUUUAAGAGGCCAACAUAAAUUUCCUGGUGGAAAAUAAAUUGCUCAUUUCUAAGAUUUGUUAAUGUAAUUUGUGACUGUAUUCCUUCCAUAGGUUCACAUGAUUUUCUGGCCUCUUGGAAGCAUGAUUCUCCCCCCAAAAUGAGUUACUUGGUUAUAUGAAUGCUGUAUAAAAAUAAAUGCAAAAAAGUGGGCUUAAGAAGUUGGAUAGCAUACAGGCCCAUCUUUACCUUGCGGGUAAUAAGCUGAGAAUGAAAGUGAUCCCAGGAUCCUUUGAGAAUAAAAACCAUCAUUGAGAAACUUCUAUUUGUCACUGUAGUAGGUUGUCCAAACCUUAUCAGUUGUUCAUCUACCCAGAGUUCAAUGCUGAGGCUUUUCCAUGUGUGAUGGUUUGCAUAUGCUUGGCCAAGGGAGUGGCACUAUUAGAAGGUGUGGCCUUUUGGAUGA